rnacentral:rRNA from 1 species
UACGUAGGGGGCAAGCGUUGUCCGGAAUUAUUGGGCGUAAAGAGCGUGUAGGCGGUCCGGUAAGUCAGCUGUGAAAGUCAAGGGCUCAACCCUUGAAUGCCGGUUGAUACUGUCGGGCUAGAGUCCGGAAGAGGCGAGUGGAAUUCCGGGUGUAGCGGUGGAAUGCGUAGAGAUCCGGAAGAACACCAGUGGCGAAGGCGGUUAGCUGGGCAGUUGCUGACACUGAUGCGCGACAGCGUGGGGAGCAAACAGG